CUCUAAUUGAUGAGUCUUAAAUAGGAUGAAACGCACGUCCUAGAU
rfam:Schistosoma haematobium scaffold15_27, whole genome shotgun sequence.